CUGGCGGCAGGCCUAACACAUGCAAGUCGAACGGAGUUAUAUUGUAGCUUGCUAUGGUAUAACUUNGUGGCAGACGGGUGAGUAAUAUAUAGGAAUCUACCUAGUAGUACGGAAUAAUUGUUGGAAACGGCAACUAAUACCGUAUACGUCCUACGGGGGAAAAAUUUAUUGCUAUUAGAUGAGCCUAUAUUAGAUUAGCUAGUUGGUGGAGUAAUAGCCUACCAAGGCAAUGAUCUAUAGCUGAUCUGAGAGGAUGAUCAGCCACACUGGAACUGAGAUACGGUCCAGACUCCUACGGGAGGCAGCAGUGGGGAAUAUUGGACAAUGGGCGAAAGCCUGAUCCAGCCAUGCCGCAUGAGUGAAGAAGGCCUUUGGGUUGUAAAGCUCUUUUAGUGAGGAAGAUAAUGACGGUACUCACAGAAGAAGUCCUGGCUAACUCCGUGCCAGCAGCCGCGGUAAUACGGAGAGGGCUAGCGUUAUUCGGAAUUAUUGGGCGUAAAGGGCGCGUAGGCUGGUUAGUAAGUUAAAAGUGAAAUCCCGAGGCUUAACCUUGGAACUGCUUUUAAAACUGCUAACCUAGAGAUUGAAAGAGGAUAGAGGAAUUCCUAGUGUAGAGGUGAAAUUCGUAAAUAUUAGGAGGAACACCAGUGGCGAAGGCGUCUAUCUGGUUCAAAUCUGACGCUGAGGCGCGAAGGCGUGGGGAGCAAACAGGAUUAGAUACCCUGGUAGUCCACGCUGUAAACGAUGAAUGUUAAAUAUGGGAAGUUUACUUUCUGUAUUACAGCUAACGCGUUAAACAUUCCGCCUGGGGACUACGGUCGCAAGAUUAAAACUCAAAGGAAUUGACGGGGACCCGCACAAGCGGUGGAGCAUGUGGUUUAAUUCGAUGCAACGCGAAAAACCUUACCACUCCUUGACAUGGAAAUUAUACCUAUUCGAAGGGAUAGGGUCGGUUCGGCCGGAUUUCACACAGGUGUUGCAUGGCUGUCGUCAGCUCGUGUCGUGAGAUGUUGGGUUAAGUCCCGCAACGAGCGCAACCCUCAUCCUUAGUUACCAUCAGGUAAUGCUGGGGACUUUAAGGAAACUGCCAGUGAUAAACUGGAGGAAGGUGGGGAUGAUGUCAAGUCAUCAUGGCCCUUAUGGAGUGGGCUACACACGUGCUACAAUGGUGGCUGCAAUGGGCUGCAAAGUCGCGAGGCUAAGCUAAUCCCUUAAAAGCCAUCUCAGUUCGGAUUGUACUNG
rnacentral:rRNA from 1 species